GGCUGGCAGAGGUUUCACUCCCUGCAGUGCUGAGGCCUGCUGGGUGGCAGGCUUCAGCCAGCUAACUUACUACUGAUGUGAUUCUGUAUGGCUCAGGAGUAGAAGGCUAUAACUGGUGGGAUGGAAGGAAUAUGCUAAAAGUCACGCAGACGAGGAAGUCACAAAGGAAGAGGUUAAACUGAGAGGCUUCCAAUGAUGUAACCAGAGAUGGACUUUUGAGCAAAAACAAGUAAACAAUACGUGAUUUACUGAGAACCUAUACGUUCGAUAUCAUGACGCUAGCAAGGAAAACAGCAAUUGAUCAUCAGUACCUAAGACU
rnacentral:lncRNA from 1 species